rnacentral:lncRNA from 1 species
GUUUAAGUGUCGCUAUUAAAAUGCUUUCCAAUUUACCGAUUGAGAUUCUAGAUAAGAUUUAUGGAUGUUUGAGUUUAAAAGAUAAACUUCAACUGGCUCAAGUCAACGAAAUCCUUGGCCAGGCAUUUUCCUACCAUAGUAAAUUGUUUUGUACACUUUUGGACUGCUAUGUUUUUACAAAUGAUAUAUUGAGAGUUUUUCUGCCGCUUUGCGGAGCGAGUGUGGUCCACAUGAAAACGACUGAAAACACAUUCGAGAAGCCAAUUGUGGAGCUAAUAUUAAAGCACUGCACCAACUUGAAAUCUACCAGUUCGGAGAUUCCAACUGAUCAUUUGAAGGAGUUCAAGGCAUUUAUAGGCAUUAAAAGCCUAAGAAAAAUUGAAUAUUUUAAUAAAUUUAGGUGUAAUCAUAUAAUCGAAUGCAUUAAUACAGAUUGUAAGGAGUUGAAAGUAUUUCACAUAAGGAAUGGACAGGGUAUGGACUUAAAAUUAAUCAAAAUGAAUCUAUUUUUUGAAUAUAUUGGUUUAUAUUGGUUUCAGCACAACACAUUCGAAGAUUGAAAAACUUGGAAAAACUGUACCUCAUUUGGCCUGAGAGAAAAAAUUUAUUAAAUAUUUUUGAAAUAGCCUCACACUUAAAAAAACUUCGCAGCUUGGUGGUUAUGUACAAUAUCGUUUCAUUAUGCCAGAAACUUGAUUUUUUAUUACCGGAAUUGGAAGAACUUGAGUUAGUGCAUUGCAGAAUUAGUCUGUCGGUAAUGCCAACAUGUCCAAAGCUCAAAUCGUUAAAAUUUGCGAGCACAGAAACUCUCAAUAUCGUUCAAAUUGUUUCAAAAUACGCCAAUACCCUGGAGCGUUUAUAUCUAUACUCAAUCAGUUAUCUUCCAAAAGAUUUAUUUGAAAUUAUCAGCAAAUGCAAAAAGUUGCAGUUGAUUCAUACAAAACUUUCCGUAAUUAACACUGUGUUUUCCGAUUCUCUGAAUUCCUUUGAUAACAUUUUGAGGGAAAAUGGUUUCAACGAACAAAGGCGUCUUGUUUGGGAAGUUAAUGAACGUAAUUCGGAAGAUGGGAUGCGAUUAUUGGUAUGUUUAUUGAUCGGAAAUGAUAAUUUUCAAUAUUUUAAAACAAUUUUUUAUUAUAGAUGCAAAAAUACACACAAUCGCAAAUGCGGAAACUAAUAGAAGUGAAUGUAACUGAUAAGAGUAAGCGAAUUGCGAGUUAUAAUUAUUAAAAUAAUUGUACAAACAUUAAUUAACUUUUCAGUACGAAGAACCCCUGUAACAAAUCUACGAGCUGCAUAUCCACUUGAGCGGUCCAUUUUGAAGUAUGUCAAUGGUUAAAUUAUAACGCAAUAAGUUUUUAGAAAUAUUUUUCUACUUGAAGAAAAUCAUACAAAAACCAUUUGAAUGCAUUCAUUCGGGC